rnacentral:lncRNA from 1 species
UAAUUGCAUUUAAAUUAUUAACUAAAUUUAUUAAAAAAUAAUUCACUAGUGGUUGCCACAACAACCGCCGACCAUCAUGAACUAUUGCCGGCAUAAGUGUAAGGCUUUAUUUUUCAUUAUUUUUUGUAUCUUUAGAAUUCUCAUCGAUUAGAGCAUCAGACGGUACAUGUUUCACCAGUAAUGAAGCUUCCGUUUACUGUAUCUUUACAGUCAAACUUUUGAAUUUCAAAUCAAAGAUCAUAGAUCUACAGAAAUUAGAUGGUUUGUUUUUUAUGGAAUAUGUGUCAUUGCAACAAUCUGUCGAUAAGAAUUCCAAUCAUACCAAAAUUAACUCUAGCGGACACAUUAAUCCGGCGGCCAAUGGUGGCAGUAAGCCGGUAACGGUGGUUGGUGGCGACAAUGGUGAUUUGGAGCAACUGCUGUCGAUAGAGCUGGCAAAAUUUGACACGACUCGAUUACUCGACACGAACACGACACUAAUAAAUGGGUAUGAGUCGUCGAAUUUAACACGAUUAUUAAAUGGGUCGGGUCCGGGUCAACACGGCUUUUUUCCGUGUCGGGUUAGGUUAAAAUUCUUGACCCAUUUACCCGAUUAAUGACCCGAUUAUAUUUUCUAUUUUAAAAUAAUUUAUAGAUUCUUGUCAUCAAAACUCAAAUAUUAGGAUGAUGUUUUUAUUCUUUAAAAGGAUGAAUAUAGACACAAUAUUUUAUUUAUAAAAUUUUAAAUACAUUUAGAACUUUAAUAGUGUAAAUGUAUAAAAUAUUGGUAGACAUGUAUAUUUUAUAUUAUUGAUAUAUAAUAUUAUUUACAUAUAUAUAAUUAAAACCUCAAUAGUGUAUGUAAUAUUUUAGUAGAUAUGUAUAUUUUAUAAUAUUGAUAAAUUAUAUAUGUAUGUAUGGAUGUAUGUAUGUAUGUAUGUAUGUGCAUACAUAUGUAUGACAAAGUGUAAAUAUUUGAUGUAACUUUUGUUUAAUAUAUAGAUAUUAAACGGGUUAUUAGGUAACCCGAUUAUUUUUCCGUGUCGGGUUUGGGUCUCAAUAUUUUGACACGAUUAUUAAAUGGGUCGGGUUUGGGUCGACAUAAAUUUGACACGACACGAAGCUGACACGACACGAACACGACCCGAUGACCCAUUUUGCCAGCUCUAGCUGUCGACCAUUAAUUUUCAAGAUGAUAAUUUGUAUAAACAAAUAACAAAACUAAUUUAAUAAAACUUAAUGUAAUAAUAUACUAGAAGUUAAUGCAAUACUGUUGAAACCUCGGGGAGAUGUGAUUAUAUAGUGCGGUAAAAGUUUCAUAAAUUUGAAUUCUAAUGCAGUGAAAUCUCUUUUACUUUUUUAGCCUAACGUGUGAUAGUAUUACUCUAAUGAAAACAAUGUUUUAAUGCUAUCUAAUGUUCCAACCUAAGGUCUCGUUUGUGAUUGAAGUAUUGUAUCUCUUAAGCUACAGUUGUUGUGGAAAAAAAA